UACGGAGGGAGCUAGCGUUGUUCGGAAUUACUGGGCGUAAAGCGCGCGUAGGCGGCUUGGAAGUUAGAGGUGAAAGCCCGGAGCUCAACCCCGGAACUGCCUUUAAAACUGCAUCGCUUGAAUCCAGGAGAGGUGAGUGGAAUUCCGAGUGUAGAGGUGAAAUUCGUAGAUAUUCGGAAGAACACCAGUGGCGAAGGCGGCUCACUGGACUGGUAUUGACGCUGAGGUGCGAAAGCGUGGGGAGCAAACAGG
rnacentral:rRNA from 1 species